rnacentral:rRNA from 1 species
CUUUUGACGGUGGAUCUCUAGGCUCACGCAUCGAUGAAG